CAACUUGAGAGUUUGAUCCUGGCUCAGAACGAACGCUGGCGGCAGGCCUAACACAUGCAAGUCGAGCGCAGUCCUUCGGGACCGAGCGGCGGACGGGUUAGUAACGCGUGGGAACAUACCCUUUUCUACGGAAUAGCC
rnacentral:rRNA from 1 species